rnacentral:rRNA from 1 species
AUGCCGAUGUUCGUGCCGGCGCCGGAGACCGUGACCACAACUCGGGGCAAGGAUGGAGAGGAGAAGACUGAAAAGGAUGUUGAUAUGAGGAAUUCAAGGAAGUGGAAGAGGAAGAAAGUUCUGAUGAUGGUGAUAAUUAGAAUAUCAAGUUUGACGACGAUGAUGAUUGGAACCAAGAGGAGGAAGUACUCUCUUCAGGAGAUCUUGCUGUUUCUGCAUGGCACAACUGGAUUAAAUAUGCUACAACAAGCGAAGGAGUUCAACGAUAUACAAAUUCCAGUCCUGGAUCUUAAAUAUACGACAACUAAACUUGCUGACCUGAAUCCUGUCUCAGAUCUGUUUAAGAAGGAUUGUUGUACAUCAGCUUUUGGAUUUGCAUAUAAUGCUGACACCACAUGGACUCUGAAGGAAGUUGUGCUAACUGCUAAGCUUUCCCUGCUUUUCCAGCUUGAGGUAUCCGACAACAUUGACGAACGCUACACCAUUCCACUUAGACCUGAGGGUAACAUCAAAGGAUGCCACCGGCAGCAGAGAUCAACAAGUUCUUCACCGUCGGGGAGAAGGUGGAGGUCGAAUGUUUCACCGUCCAGUGCAGACUUAUCAUUCAGCUACAGUCACUUGAUCAUCGUCACAGACACCGCCACACUAAGAAUUGUGCAGCUGCUCUACUUUCAGAUUUAUUUAUAUGAAAAAUAUUGA